rnacentral:lncRNA from 1 species
CCAGCCCCCUCCGCAUCCCAGCGCCCUGCUUACAGCCCCACGUCUCGCCUGCGCCGAGCACCUCCGAGCCGUCCGCCGCCCGCCCUGCGCGCCGAGUGCCGCCGCCGCCAGCAGGAACGUGGACAUGGCAGUGAGCCAUCUUGGAUCAGGAAAAUGAACGGUGGAGCAAGAGCAUAAAAGGAGGCUGGAUUCUUGGAUGAUCUCACACAGUGCCCAUCUUCAGACUAUGAGAGAGAAAUAAAUUAUAUCCUGUAUAAGUCACAGCUAUUGGAGGUUUUUGUCACGUGCAACCAAAUCCAUAACCCAACUAAUGCAGAACAUCUUCCCUCCUGCUUUACACCAUGAACAGACAAAAAUUGAAGAUGG